rnacentral:lncRNA from 1 species
GUUCACGCAUAAAUACACGAUCGUCUGAUAACUUCCCUAUGUGAGCCAAUCGGUAAAAGAAAAAACCGAAAAAUAGCAUAUUUCUGCCCCUUUUGAUUUUAUAGAAUCGGAUAUAUAUAUAAAAAAAAAAAAAGAAUUUUAUAGAAUCGGCGGAAGGGGCCGAAACGCAACUCUCAAAUCCUCCGUCCGACAAUACCUUCUUCUCAAAAGAUUAUCGUAUUUUCAGGUAAAUUAGUAUCCUCUUAGGUAAAUUUGCAUUUUGAUUGUUUGAUCCACGGAAAUUGAGUGUGGCUUUUUUUUUUUUUUUUUUGGUUAAAAAAAAUUGUUUUUAUGUUGUAAUUUCUUACCUGUAUCAAUUGGUAUUGCCUAUGUUUUCUAUUAGUCACGAUAAAUUAUUGUUAGUUGUGAUGAUUUGCUAUUAAAGGUUUAAACUUUCAUGUCUUUGAUUUGUUGAAGAUUGAUAACUCAGAGUUUGCAGUGGUAGUGCUCAAAUGAAACUAAUGAUUUGUUCUGAUUCAAAUUAUUCAUUAUAGAAAUUAGUGUUGUACACUCUACAUUCUUACAACCUAUUUGUUGUUUAAUUUGUUAAUGGAUUUUAGUUUCUCUGUGGACGACAAAGAUUUGGCAUCAAUCGGCUACAUUAAACUUAAGUCUUCACAGAACGUAAAAGAACCUCCAGAAUGAUGACGAUUUGAUGAUUUAUCUGCCAUUCUCCUCUUUCUUAUGCACGGUACAAUUGCAACAUCAUUUGAUGCAAUCCCAGUUAUUGCGUUUUCUUAAUUUCUUUUGCCCAACAUAAUUCGUAUUGAAAAAAUAAUUGCAAUAUGCCUAUGUUUUGCGUGUUUUUUUCCUUACCUUUUCACUCUACUAUUCUGAUUUAUGUACGAUUUACGAUUCAUUAAAUUAAUCAAUGGUAUGUUUAUUAUUGGUAGGAAAUCUAUACACAGUGCAUUAGGGAACCCCCAAAGUUCCAUAUUCUUAAUUCCUUUACAGCCAAAUUUGUGUAUGAUCAAACAACAGCGAUUAAGAACGGCUCCGGAAACAAUUUUCUAGACGGUUUAAUAAGAGGUUAUUGAUGACUGUAGAAAAUAGCAUGCCUUCUUAGCAAUUUAACUGAAAUUUUUGUUUCGCGCGUUCUAAAUAUUCAAAAAAAUUGCAGCACAAAUUUUGUACCAGCAAACAUAAGAGGUUAAAGAGAGCUCCUGAAGCAAUUUAGUGUGCAGGUAAACAGAGGUUAAGGAUGUCUAUAUAUCUCUGUUGCUUUUGGUGAAUUUCAUAUAUUGUAGAAAGAUUGAUGUUUUGGAAUUGUGUUUGUUUUCUUACAUAUAUUGUUGAAUUGUUUUAGUUCCAGUUAUAUGAUUCCCCAGUGCCUCAUAUACUACAAACUCUCAGACUGACCAAGAAACUCAAUUUUCCGAAUUAGGAAAAAUAUAUAUUUUUUCCUUCUCUUUAUUGUGAUAAUAAGCUACCUGAGGUUCUAUGUUUUUUCAUUUCCGUUCUAUACUUAUUAUCGAUUGGACAAUAUUACAAAUAAUUAAAGUAUUUGCACUUAUGUUUCCCGAAAUUGAAAAUUGAUACUGAUGAAUUCUCUUUAAACUACACUUUUGCAGAACUUGGUCAUUUUUCGUUAUUCUCGGACGAAGAUGAAUGACAAAGAGAAAAACACGAUAAGAAGAACCUUAACUUGCAUAAUUGAUAGGAGGUACUCACUAUUUCAAUUGAAUUUAUAUUACAACACUUAAUGUUUAAUGUUAUGGAGUUCAUUUAUUUUAUAGGUUUGUGGUUAUUUUUCAGACAAAAAUUGUGAUGAGAAGAUGUUUAAUCUGUCGAUUAAUACACAAAUUAGCUGAUUGAAUGAAGAAUGGACUAACAUCCUCAUCCAUCAGAAGAUUGAUAGUUACUCUUCCAAUAUGCAAGUCUGUAUAUAAUGUGUAUAAUAUUUUUCAAAUUUGUAUGUAGUACAGUAGCCGUAUAAUAUUUUGCAAGUUUGUAUAUAAUGUGUACCGUGUCUGUAUCUGCCUUUUUUUUCCCCUUUUUAAAUGUAUGUAUAACCAGUGUAAUGUAUCAAAGCAGUUUGUAUAUAAAAUGUUUCAUUUUUUCUCCUUGAUGAUACGACGUCUUAUUGUACACACGUUUUUUUAUUUGGUG